AGUGAGAAUGCCGGAAUGAGUAGCGAGAAUUAUGUGAGAAUCAUAAUGGUCGAAAAUCUAAGGUUUCUUGAGGAAGGUUCGUCCGCUCAAGGUAAGCCGGGAGCUAAGGCGAGGCCGAGAGGCGUAGUCGAUGCACAUACGGUAAAGAUUCCGUAGCCACCGAAGUCGUUAAAUACAGGGACACAGGAACAUAGCCUAACCCCACCGUUGGUUGAGUGGGGCGUAAGGGAGCGAAAAAUAGUAGCGAAGUAGGUGAUUGUACACUGGCGAGAAAAGCUGUAUGUAUUGAUAAGGUGCCCGUACCGCAAACCGACACAGGUAGAUGAGGAGAGAAUCCUAAGACCAGCGGGAGAAGUGUUGUUAAGGAACUCGGCAAAAUGACCCCGUAACUUCGGGAUAAGGGGAGCCUACGCGAGUAGGCCGCAGAGAAUAGUCUCAAGCGACUGUUUAGCAAAAACACAGGUCUAUGCUAAAUCGAAAGAUGAUGUAUAUGGGCUGACGCCUGCCCGGUGCUGGAAGGUUAAGGGGAAGUGUUAGAGCAAUCGAAGCACUGAACUUAAGCCCCAGUAAACGGCGGCCGUAACUAUAACGGUCCUAAGGUAGCGAAAUUCCUUGUCAGGUAAGUUCUGACCCGCACGAAUGGCGUAACGACUUGAGAGCUGUCUCAACAACAUACCCGGCGAAAUUGAAGUACUGGUAAAGAUGCCAGUUACCCGUGAUAAGACGGAAAGACCCCAUGGAGCUUUACUGUAACUUGAUAUUGAAUUUUUGUAUUACAUGUACAGGAUAGGUGGGAGACAGAGAACUAAUGCCGCCAGGUGUUAGGGAGUCGAUGUUGGGAUACCACUCUUGUAAUAUGAAGGUUCUAACCUGCACCCGUGAAUCCGGGUGGGGGACACUGUCAGGUGGACAGUUUGACUGGGGCGGUCGCCUCCUAAAAGGUAACGGAGGCGUUCAAAGGUUGGUUCAGCACGGACGGAAAUCGUGCAACGAGUGCAAACGCAUAAACCAGCCUAACUGCGAGACCGACAAGUCGAGCAGUAACGAAAGUUGGAGUUAGUGAUCCGGCGGUAUGAGAGUGGAAUUGCCGUCGCUCAACGGAUAAAAGCUACCCUGGGGAUAACAGGCUGAUCUCCCCCA
rnacentral:rRNA from 1 species